AUUCCCCCUGAAACCCCUAAAUUUUCCUCCCUAAAAUUGGUAUCCUCAAAACACCUAAGUGUUUCUCUCUGCCACCACCGUCUUCAUCAUCAUCUUCCCCUCUCUCCCUCUUUUUGCAUACAUCUCAGAAGAGCUCAUACUUUAUCUGUUUCUCAUAUUUUUUUAUCAUUAUAUUUCAAAUGAAAUAUUAUUUUUUUCCCUCUUCUUUUUUCGAUUCCCCCCAUCCCCAGAAAUCUCCCUAAAUCGAUUCCCCAGAAAUCUCUUUUCUUUUUUCCCCAUUUUAUUUUUCCCAAACCAUUUCUCCCCUACCCCGAUUCCUUUUAUUUUCCCCCCAAUUUCCCAAAAUCGACAGCCCUCUGCAUCUCCUCAAAGGGUUGUAGCAGAAGGAGGUCUCGAACUAGCAGGUCAAGUGGUACAGAUUCAUGGAGACCUUACGGAUGAUAACUACCAGACAUUGGAUCAGGCUGUUUGUGUUUUAUUUUAUUUUUGUUCUAAGAUCUAUUAAAUCUAACUUAAUUUUCACGCAUUCUGUUGUGCAAGUAGAUCAUUCUUCUCUUAUGUAGAAGCCAUUCAUUAGUAUAUUUCAAGGCUGCCAGAUUCAUUCCAGGUAAAGUUUUCAUGAAGCAAAUUUUUAGAUCUACCCGUAAAUAGAGUAUAUAUGUCCACAUUUUGUUCAUGGUUCACAACUUGCUUAGUAUUUCAGUUUGUGGAACAAUUGUUGUUACUCCCGUAGAAAAGUUUGGGUGUUUAAUGAUUUUACAGAUGUUAUGUAUAAUGAAGAUUUUAUAGCCUUCUUGACGGGGUGCACAUGUUUAUACCUUCGCUUUCACUGUUCUAAUCUUGGAGACAGAACGCAUUUUUCUCGUUUUUUCUCUCUUGAUUUUUGCUUUUAUUAGCUGCUGAAGUGAACCAUCUUUUGGAAUCUGUGGUUGUCUUAGGUACUGGUCCUUUUGAAAUUUAGUACAGUGCUUUAUUUUGUUACUGCUGAGGUUGUGGCAGGACGAACAGCAUGGUUGGGUCGAGGUCUUUCUUGUGUAUGUGCUCAAAGCAGAGAGAGUGAUGCUUGUCCAUCAUUUGAUUUAACUCCUUCCCAGCUGAAAAAGGCUUUUACAUUAAUCACCCUUGAAGUUACUUUUCUAUAGAAAAGAAAAGAAAAGACUAGCGAUGGAGAACUCAAGUUCCAGCAGUGAAUUGCAGAAGCUCAUAGAAGCCAUAAAAAUUUCAGAGGUGGUAGAAGGUCAGAGGGAACUGAUUGCCAAAUUAGCAGAUUUACAUUUAUCUAAGCAAUCUGAUGUGAAAUCUCUUGGUUUGCGACUUGUAUUGCGGCGGCGGAGCUGAUGCAGAAAAAUAUUCUCUAAGUUAUUUAUUUGUGAAAAGAGAGAAAAAUAUUCUGGAUAAUUUGGAAACCCUAUUGCAAGAGAAGGACAUUCAGGCUGAUCUAGUCUGUUGCUUGCAGCAUUUGCAGUUAAGAUUUGAAACUGAAGACAAAGCAAAGGAGACUUCUAAGUAAUGUGUCAUUUUUGUUGAAACCUGGGGGUUAUUUUUUCCGUAUUACUCCUGAAAAAGUGAUUGUCAAAAACUGUUGUUUCUGGAUUUGUGUAUUUUCCUUUUUUUUCUUGUGGUUACUGCAGCACCUGUUUCUGGGAGGUGAUUGUGUAAACAUUUUAGUGUGCUUUAGUUAUUGUAAGAAUAUUUUUAACAUUGUUAAUUUUAAUAUUAUUGUAAGAAUAUUCUGAAUUAUAAUUGAGUUAUCAAUUUAUAUCAUAUAUCUUUCAUUGAA